rnacentral:siRNA from 1 species
GUAUCAUCACACCUGGAAUUGAG